AAACAGUGAAGGAUACUGACCAGGUGGAACCAGAGAGCAUCCCAACGUCAGUCAGCACCAGGACACCUAGAUAAGAACCUUUCUGCCAUGAUGAUGAAGAUCUGUUUCAUCCUUCUUCUGCUUGUUGUUGCUCUAGCAACAAGAUCAGCUGCCCAAGCUACAACCACAGCUGCCCCGACGACCACCACCACAGCUGCCCCAACGACUACAACCACAGCUGCCCC